rnacentral:rRNA from 1 species
UAGCUUGCUACUCUGCUGACGAGCGGCGGACGGGUGAGUAAUGCUUGGGAAUAUGCCUUAUGGUGGGGGACAACAGUUGGAAACGACUGCUAAUACCGCAUGAUGUCUACGGACCAAAGUGGGGGACCUUCGGGCCUCACGCCAUAAGAUUAGCCCAAGUGGGAUUAGCUAGUUGGUGAGGUAAUGGCUCACCAAGGCGACGAUCCCUAGCUGGUUUGAGAGGAUGAUCAGCCACACUGGGACUGAGACACGGCCCAGACUCCUACGGGAGGCAGCAGUGGGGAAUAUUGCACAAUGGGCGCAAGCCUGAUGCAGCCAUGCCGCGUGUGUGAAGAAGGCCUUCGGGUUGUAAAGCACUUUCAGUAAGGAGGAAAGGUUAAGUGUUAAUAGCACUUAGCUGUGACGUUACUUACAGAAGAAGCACCGGCUAACUCCGUGCCAGCAGCCGCGGUAAUACGGAGGGUGCGAGCGUUAAUCGGAAUUACUGGGCGUAAAGCGUACGCAGGCGGUUUGUUAAGCGAGAUGUGAAAGCCCCGGGCUCAACCUGGGAACUGCAUUUCGAACUGGCAAACUAGAGUGUGAUAGAGGGUGGUAGAAUUUCAGGUGUAGCGGUGAAAUGCGUAGAGAUCUGAAGGAAUACCGAUGGCGAA